UACGGAGGGUGCAAGCGUUAUCCGGAUUCACUGGGUUUAAAGGGAGCGCAGGCGGAUUGGUAAGUCAGUGGUGAAAGGCUUAAGCUUAACUUAGGAACUGCCAUUGAUACUAUCAGUCUUGAAUGUUGUUGAGGUUUGCGGAAUGGGUCAUGUAGCGGUGAAAUGCAUAGAUAUGACCCGGAACACCUAUUGCGAAGGCAGCAGGCUAAACAAAUAUUGACGCUGAGGCUCGAAAGCGUGGGGAUCAAACAGG
rnacentral:rRNA from 1 species